GGGAACGUAGCUCAGCCUGGGAGAGCACUACGCUGAAGACGUAGGUGUCGAGGAUUCAAAUUCCUCCGUUCCCA
rnacentral:tRNA from 1 species